AGCCAGCGCUGGACACUGAGACAUGAGGGUGCAAGGUGACCUGCGUGACAGCAAAGCCCCUCACGACCAGAGCAGGAAGGAACAAGAGAACAGAUGAGCCUGGGAGGCCUCCUGGGAGAGGGGACCCCAGGAGACACUUGAGGGCUGCUCCCACCUCGACUCCCCAGGCCUCUCCCAUGGCCGUGGCAGGACUGGGCUGCCUUGGCAGGAGUGAAUGAGGGACUCGCCCCACUGGGACCCAGAACUCCCCGUCCCACCUGGCCUCAAGUGGGUUCUGAAGGGGUCUCACCAGGCCUUCAGCCGCCUGCCCAGCCGAGGACCCAGAGGACCACUCCCUCCCCCUUCCACUUCUCCAUCCUUGGGAGUGGACCUUGGCCUUAAUUCCACACUUGUGGGUCCCCUAAACCAUGCUGGCAGCCCUAAAGGCCCCUGCUACGGCCCUGAGAACACCCCUCCCCAAAGUGCCACCCUCUCCCCGAUGACAUGGGCUCUUAUGUGCGAACCCCCAACACUGUGAUGCCCUACAGUGCCACCUCUCCACUCAGGGGCACCCCUGAUGUGCCCAGCCCAGGGUCAGGAGUGGCCAGCUGCCCUCAGUGAGCCUGUGGAGGGUGGGGUUCUAUCGGCGGUGAUACUGGGGCCCACCAAGUAGCUCAGAAUGGCUCUGGCCCAGUAGCCCUGUCUCUGAGCCCCCAGCCUGCACUGCCCCUCCUCCCGGCCUCUGACAGGGGGUGAAGCUGGAAAGAUGAGCUGCCCCACCCAGCCCAGAGCUGGCGGGAACAGCAGAAGACUCAGGACCCCAAGGGUGGGGACUUUCCCAUCACACUGAAGAGGCGGCAGGGGAGUGGGGGGGUAGGUGCUGACGCAGAGCUGAACAAGGUCUGGCCUGUGAUGGUGUGAGGCCCAGUCAG
rnacentral:lncRNA from 1 species